UGGGUUGUGGCUCAGCGGUAGAGCACUCACCUAGCACAGGCGAGGCCCUGGGUCCGAUCCUCAGCACCACCUAA
rnacentral:tRNA from 1 species